UACGUAGGGUGCAAGCGUUAAUCGGAAUUACUGGGCGUAAAGCGUGCGCAGGCGGUUGUGCAAGACAGAUGUGAAAUCCCCGGGCUCAACCUGGGAACUGCAUUUGUGACUGCACGGCUGGAGUGCGGCAGAGGGGGAUGGAAUUCCUGGUGUAGCAGUGAAAUGCGUAGAUAUCAGGAGGAAUACCGAUGGCGAAGGCAGGUCUCUGGGCUAUAACUGACGCUCAUGCACGAAAGCGUGGGGAGCAAACAGG
rnacentral:rRNA from 1 species